CGCCCUCGGCCACGCCCUGACACACUCCAGCCAAUCGCAGCCCGCUCCGGCCAGCUGGGCCCCGCCCCCGGCUAUUUUCCAACCGCUCGCCGACGGCCCCGCCCAAUCGUUGCUGGUUUACUCGGAAAACCACGGCGGGGUGGGUGAAGGGGCCUACCGGACAAGCGGAAAGGUCACGUGUACUGUUGUAUUUCAGCUCCAAGUCCAGAAAAAACAGCAAAAGCCAGCUGGAUGAUACCAGAACCAAUUGCAAUGAAGACCCUGCCACUGACCAACCAGAAGAGACCAUGACCCUGAAAGGGCACAUCUGGAUAACAGCUGUGGCCAUGCUUCGAACCAGGGAGAUGAAAGUGACUUCCACCCAGGAUGUAACUGGGAAGCAGCUCCUCCUGGUUACAACACCUGCCUGAGAACUUAGAGAUUAUUGACACCACACCACCAGGUCAUGCCUGCCCAGACUUACUACGGCAGCCCAGAAAAGCUGGAAAAAAAUAUGGGAAUGCUGGCAGGUGUAGCCGAUUGUGGAAGAAAUUGGAAAUGGAGCUGCAGAGGAAGACUGGUGCUGGGAUUUAAACCCAGGUGUGGCAGCCAUGCCAGGAGGGACUACAUGACUUUGGACUAAGAGGGUACCCAUGCAGCUUUGGUGAGAGGGAGAACACGGCUUUGGGGCUCCCUUUGCUACACAGUUUAGGAAGCUAGGAAGCAAGAUGUGGCAGCAUUGUCGAGCUCUCUCUUAGCAGUUUGGAAGAAUACAGGAGAGAUGCUGCAAGAAGGAGAGAGUAAAAGGACUCUUGCUGGUGGGCCAUGAGAAGGUGCCAUGCGUGUUUGAAUUAACCGGAGAUUGCAGCGGCGACACAGCUGAUGGUGCUGGGAACUGAAGGAGGCUUGCCAGUUGAGCGUGUAUUACUGGGAAGAACCAGGGGCUACCUGUGCCUUCUGGACUUCUACUUCUUUUCCUGGGAUUCGGUACCCCAGACUGGGCAGAGCGGGGAAGGAAGGAUUGUAUGUGUUUGUGAGUGUUUGAUGGAAUUUUUGGAUUUUAAUGAAGGCAUUGAGUCAUUACUCUUAAGUCUAUACAACCUUUGAAUAAAUAAUUCCUUUCUUUUCACCAAUCUCUGAUGUUAAGAGACGUCAUUCCCUGGUGGCAGGCAAGGCAAACCUAGUACAGAGGGACCCGGGGAGAAGGUGGGGGUCUGUUCAGUAAUAGUCUAUCGUUCCCACCCACCCCUGGGUCCGUUCUGUAACACCAUGGGCUAAAUCUGGUCCACAGAUAUGUUUUAGUUGGUUCACAAAGUGUCUUCAAAACUGAGACAUUUCCUAAAAGUUUGGAUUUCAACCUUUCUCGAAAAGCAAAGAUUUGGCAGUGGUGGGUCCACAGCCAACACGGCUAAAAUGAGUUGGAGCUGAGAAGCACCCACCACCUUUAAAGCACACUUUUCCAUUUCCCUCGGCCUCACUGGUCCCUGUCAUCUUACACACGGCCCCUCCACCCUUACACUUGUGGAAGAAAAGGGGCCACAUACUGAAUCUGACACACUCAGGGGAGGUCUGCAUGACAGCCUUGCAAACCGAGAGAUUUAAAGGAACCACAAAGGAUGCUCUUAAAUUAACAUUUACCAACUAUAAGCAAUCCAUGGCCCUGCCCUAGGCCGGUAUCUUUUUCUAACAAAGGUCAUUCUUUACCUUAACUGAGCCUGUCUGUUGUCUUUUUGCAUCUAAGAUAAUAAACCUUUGCAAUGUCAAGAUAAUUUCCUUUUGGGAAUUUGUGGGGAGGGAUGGGUGGUGGGCUGGGAUGGGAGUAAAAGAGAGAAAACUGUACUUGAACAACAACUAAAAUUUAAAAAUUUAAAAAAUAAAUAUUAAAAAAAAGAUAAUUUCCUUCUCCAGCCCCCCUCAGAGCACAAUCUCCCACCACAGCAGAGACCUCUGGAGCCCCUCAUUGUCACUGUGUUCUCUCAGAUACCAUCUCUAUGUGCUGUAAAUGGUCAUUGUUAACUAGGAUGUACCCACCAGUAUAAAAGAAGUAUGUGUUUAUCAUUUUACCUUUUAUCCAAUCCCAGAGAUUUCCCCACUUUGCUUUCUCCCACCUUCCUAAGCUAUCACUCAUGGAUUUCAUGUAACCCCCUAUGUCUCCUCCUUUGAUUGUAAUGUAUACAAUAAAUAAAGUGUUAACCUGCCAUUCUUCAGAGCAUUUCUCAAACUAUUGAGAUUUUGCUUCCCAGUAAUUAUCAUCAGUUUGGCUCAAAUAAACUCACAAAAAUUCUCUA